rnacentral:rRNA from 1 species
CGGACGGGUGAGUAACGCGUGGAAAACCGUAGCCGUAUACUGGGGGAUAACACUUAGAAAUAGGUGCUAAUACCGCAUAAGCGCACAGCUUCGCAUGAAGCGGUGUGAAAAACUCUGGUGGUAUACGAUGGUUCCGCGUCUGAUUAGCUAGUUGGUGGGGUAAUGGCCUACCAAGGCAACGAUCAGUAGCCGGCCUGAGAGGGUGAACGGCCACAUUGGGACUGAGACACGGCCCAAACUCCUACGGGAGGCAGCAG